CGGUUCUCCCGUCUCUCCCGUCUCUCCCGACCCGUCGACACCCACGGUUCCACCUAACAUCCUUUCUCUCCUGCUCUCUCCUAUUUCGAACCCGUCUCCGCCGUCUCGUUUUAUCGCUUCAUCUCCUUCUCCCAUGUUUUCUCCCUCGAGCCACGUUUCUCUUUCUACGUGUGUGACCGAAGGCGACCGACCGAGCGCGGCCAACUCGAGCACGACUGGCUCUCCGCUCUGACUGCUGCAAAAAAUAUUCCGCGUGCAUUCACGCACACGUGCUCGCGCGUGUUGCUGCCGCUGCACUACCGUGCUCUGCUCCGUUUUGCGCUCUCCUUCGCUUUUUCACCCUUUUUUCUUUCUUUUCAGUCUCUCUGACCAAGCGAAAUGACGUUCGGUCGCGCAACGGCGAACCUCUGCCGUUCCUCUUUGUGCUUUUUUACCUUUUUCCACCGAACCUGCUCCUUUAUUAUGCAAAGUCCUCUACCGCGGACUCGGCGACCGUGUAACGUUCGCACACACGUGCGAACGUCCUCGAAAUGGACGCGAGUUAUAUCUGUCGUGCCUUUCUCUCUGCGUGGAAUCGGUGCUCUGUACCUCGAUUCACCGUGCAUCGCUAUGCGUUCCAUUGUGCAUCGCACGGUUUUAUUUACAGUGUCCUUGCUCUGUACGAUGGCGGCGAGGAAAAGACGGCUCGAGAUUCGUGCUCGAUCCACGCAUCUCGUUUACAUUUACGCCGCGUGUUUCCGCCUUCCAUCUCAUACACCGCUCGAACUAUGCUCGGGGUAUUACGUAAAGCGAAAUUAUUUUCCACGGACACACGGGUGUGCUUUAAACAGGUAUCGCACGGUGUGUAUCACGCGUUUGACGGUACACGCUCCGGCCGAUUUUAUCGGGACGAUGAAACGUGGGAGUUACGUACAUAGGCACGACGAGUAAUCGUGCGACCCGAUCUGCCAACUUCCCAUUCGGAAUCGAGCGAAGCGAAGCGAAGUGUGCGACGUUCCUCUUAAAUUAACCGCUCUUCGUCUUCGUAUCUCGUAAAAACGUCCUUUCGAUUCCGUACAGCCGCAGAUGUCUCCCAUUUUCACUCGCUCUAAUCUGCCCGUUAUCUCCGCUUAUAAUCCAACACGAUGCCACGAGCGAGCUAUACGUAUAUGUAUAUUCACAUUCAUAUCGAAUCAACUUCGUCAACUUCGACGCUCGUAAAGAUAAGAUGAGGCUGGCUCUUAUCGGAAGUCAACGGCGAGGCUAUAUUUACAUGCCGUUUCGAACGGUAUCUCUGUGUUAAAACGCCGCUGCUCGUGUAUCGGUCACGCUGUUCCGCGUGAAAAAUCCGACACACACGCGUGCGCCUGCAGUUUCUUAAUAGCGCGCGAGUUUACGCGACUUUUUACGCCUUGGGCUUGCGAAAGAAUCUUUUCUUAUCCGAGCGCGGCCGUGCUUCGACCCGACAAUUUAUCACCGUGUACCGGUACACGGCUCGUUAUGUCCGUCCCGGACGCAAUUUGCGCCACCUUGGCCAAUAAAUAUCCUCUAUACAGACCACGACGUUGCUCGAACGUUGGUCCAUGCGUAUUUGACGAUCCCUCCGAAUCGACGCAUUAAGCGUCAGCGUUCCUCGAUGACUAAUCCCGUCUCGAACCCUUUCCUUCGGGAGCUCGAACGACUCGAAAACGCGUACAUCGAUGUCCGAAGAAAAUUCUCGACCAAACGUAGCGUACUUCUGAGUCGACUUUCAUUUCCAUUACAAAGAUUCAUCCAGAUUUUUACAUAAUUGCCAGAAUAUCUGAUCGUAGAAUGCAAGUCCAUCGAAGAGCGUGUAUCGCGAAUGAAUAAAUGGAUCUCCAUGAAUUUCAAAUGCCGAACGGAGCUUGCGAGAGAGAGAGAGAAAGAGAGACACGCUUGUCGCGCAAAAUAAUCUCUAUAAGUAAUAAUUAGAGGCUCGUUCGAGCGUGACGAUUCAUGUAAAUCGAAAUCGUUUGACUUCGAACCCCGUGUAACCAUUAUCGGCUCGAAGGUUGCGUAUUAAUUAAUCACGAAUCUCGAGACGAGACACGGCAAACUCGACAAAGCGGAAAACAAGGCGCGCUUACACGCAUACACGUAAACCCGAAGAGAAGAAUUAUUCUCGCAUUAGUCGCGAAUUAACUACAUGGAAGACCGUACGGAAUAUUCCAGCAGACCUAUUUAAUCGGAGGAACAAACAGGAUCUCCCUGCCACUGGUAAAUAAUGGCACGCGGGAAACCGGCGGAAUAGCUAUGUUCCAGUGGGCUUUGUAGUAAGUAGCUGGGCAAAGAGAGAGAGAGAGAGAGAGAGAGAAAGAGAGAGAGGAGGUUGCUGCUGGUUUAUGUAACACGCCCGAAGGGGAACAUUAAUGUGCCCGUUUCGAGUGUCUGCUGUCUCCUGCAUUCCCGGCAGCUGCCUGCGUUUUGCAUGUGCACCCUGCACCCGCAUGCGUUGCAUCGUUCUGCCGCGUCACUCGCACGCACACGCACUCUGUUCGCAUGCGAACGCACUCUGCAACCGUUCAAGGACAAAGAUUUGCACGAGUAAGCCCGCAUUUCGUGUUCGAAAUCCAUCUUUUUCGCCGCAUUACGCUAAUCGAUCGUUCGAAACUUCGUCAAUUAUGUACGUCGCUUUAAAAUUUAAUGGCGGAAAUGAAAUAUAAAAAUGGAACGGGAGAUGAGCGAAAAUCGAUUCGCGUUUAAAAGUCGCGACAAAAAUAAUUCCAGCCCGUGCACGUUAAUUAAUAGCUCGUAGAGUUGAUGAUACGAAUAUCGAAUUACGCGAAACGAGGUGUUAAAUUGCACGCUCUCGGUGCGAUCGUGUUAAAGGAGGGGGAAAAAAAAGGAGUCGAAAAUAUGCUGUCCCCUUCAUUGACACUCUUCACGCAUUGGACACGUACGAUAGCUUAUCGGGAGAAUGUGCAACAGCGGCAUUUUUAUGCCGGUGUCACGGCUGACCUUGUCGCUUCAGGUAUAUCAGGCACGCAUGCACAAACACGCAUACACGCGCUCCCAUCUACACGUGCAGUGUGCACACACAUUCGUGGUGACGGGUUAUAAUGUCCAACAACCGGGGAUCGAUAAACUGCUCGCAUAUUUCUUGCUCGUAUUCCCGGACGACGAGGAAGCUUACCGAGUAGUCAGACUCGUCACGUUCUCCGAGAAUCGAUGCAUAUUUCAUGCAAUAAUUCCCGAUGAAUGUAGGCUACGAGUUUAGCAAAAAGCUUGUUGCAAUCUUUGCUCCGCCGGAUCCGUUCAAUUAUUCAUCAAGUGGAAGGCAAUGAAAAGAAGAAUCGAACGAGCCCGCGUCAAAUUUCUGACGGCAUCCUCUUGGCCCGGUUUGCCGAUUUAACAAAAAAAACGCGAUCGCCUCUGCCGAUUGUGGGAUCGGGACCUCCAGACCCUAAUAAUAGGAGGAAUUAUGGGAGUAGACGAUGGCGGGCUGGCACUGGCGAAGUAGAUAAGGCGAGUGACUACAACGCGAAGGACCUCGGCUUCGAUUCCCAACGGAAUCCCUAUUUUCCACGGAUUAUACUGUAAAGUUGAUAGAAAUAUCAACUUUAAUAUAAAAUGAUAUCAUUUGAAUGGAAGAAAUUGCUGACAAAGACGAGAGAUAUCCCAUCGGUAAGGAAAAUUAAUAGGCGAAAGGACCGGGUAGGGUCAAAAUGACUCACUCGUAACUUUCCAAAAGUAUAUUUUCGAUACCGAUAAGUAUUAUCGUCCGUAACAUUCUGACUUUGUUUACUUGCAUUUGUAUCGAUACGAGAUAAAUUUUUCGAUUGCGUUAAGUAAUUCUCAUCGAGUAGUAAUUAUUAAUUUUCUUCAGCAUGUACGGAGAUAAGAAAAUCAUGCGAGUCAACAUGACCCGGUCGGUCCUUUUAGGUAAACAGAACCUUUGAUCUUUCUAACGUCGAGAAAAGCAGUGCAGCGUAUCGGAGGAACUGCAGUACACCAGAGGAAGCCACGAAAGUGCAGUGCCCGAAGAGUUAACAACUAGCAUUUCAACAAAGUUAAUCAAACAUUCUAUUUACCGCGCAAAUCGUUCACGUGACACAGAAAUGGAUCCCGACGUACAUUGGACAAGGGGGGAAAGGGAAUAAGUAAAUUCCGAAUGGUUCGAUUUUGUCGCAAUAAAGGACAAAUGGCCUUGAUCGAGGUUGAGCCCUGAUCACACGUACAGGGUGAAUAUCUGUGGACGCGUGCGCGCCAACAAGCGCACACUGGUUCGCAGUGCUCACGUGUGCAUCGAGCACAAAAGCCCUUUGUACGCGUUCAGACCGGUGACUAUCGAUUCGAUCUAGUGUCGGCUCUUCCGUGGGUGGACGAGAACGCGACCAUGCUCCACCUAGCCGUUUCACCCCGUUUCUGCUCCCUUUUUUUCCCUCUUGUUUAAUGCACUUUCUAUCGCGGCACGCCCGGCUUUCGCCCGUUUCCACGUUCAAGAAUUUGACAAACCCUCGAUGCAACAGACGAUAAACUUUUUCCGUAAUUUAUAGCCGAUAUGCAGGCGUAUUGCCAGGCGAAAGAGACUCUAUAGACCGAGUUUAAGAGUCAGUGACGUGUUCUAAUACGAAUGGCGAGGAAAUAUUACAAUGGCUCGACACGGCUACCCGUAGGAUUAACUUCCACAACCUUCGACGGUAAUUGUAGAGUUGACGAACGUCUCUCUGGCCACCACCAAGGAGUAUUAUCGACACGAUCGUAUUAAGUUUCAGCGCAUGAUCGCUUAUGCAUGAGUAGAACGUUACGUCGGUCGCCAACUUUGAUGAGCUGGCGCAGGCACACUCUUCCAAUCGCGAGUUCGCCGAACCAACUGAAAGAAAUCAUCCGUGCACUAGGAAUUCGUCUGAACAACGUGAAAAAUUUGAAUCCUGUUCUCCUAUCGAGAAUAUAGGAAAGUUAAUGGAAUUCGAGGAACUGAAUUCUCUCCCGGGCCUCGUUAGCCUGGAUAGAAAGUUACGGAACUCGUUAAACGCGCUUCCAAUUUCCACGACGAGUUUCUCGACGAUAUUCCGAGCUUCUUGGAAAUUUCACGGGCCUUGGAAUCUGUCGGAGCACGACCUUGAAAAGGUCGAUCCGCGAGACUAAAGUUGUAGGAAAGUUGCGGGACAACUACAGCAGGGAGAAGCUCGAUCCUCUGUUAUAUUGUUACCCGGGACCGUGCCACGACCUCGCCGACACGAUUCCCUCCGUUUUAGGAUCGACAGGGUAUGCGAGGUAUCACCGAAAGGCAACGAGCUCCGAAUGCAUUCCGGUUGCACUGUGGUAGGGCAGAUGCAGGGAUCGUUAUUUCCAAGAUGGCCGGUACACUCGCCAUGCGACCCCAAUGCGUGUAUACCUUCUUGCACGUCACAGACGAGUGAUUUCUGCAGGGCCGUGCAAGACCCGGUACUUUGGAAAUUUUAUCACAAGCACGUUCAAUUCUCGUGGCAUUUCCAAAAUUCAAGUCCUGAACGUUUCCCAUAGAAUGCGUUUCGUUUUGCACGGAACACUGGUGUCUCACACGUUGCGACCUCGGUGAGAUUACCACCAGCCGACUCUAUAUUCUAUCCCAGUUACCUCGAUGUUGAAAACGUGCCAAUAAAAUCUACCUCUCUGGCUGUGCAACGCGCAGAGUUGACCGCAGUGCGUUGAAGAGUAAAGUCGAUCAAAUGGUUGCCAGAGAAGAAACGAUCCGCGGAAAAAACUUUCGCGAUCGAAGUGUCGGUGCAACAGCGGCAACGGUAGGCAGUGCGAGCGAGGGAAAAAAAUAAAAGCUCAUUCCGUGAGCUGUCGGAGGAACGCAGCUCGUGUGUGCAGCCUCUCACGCACACGCUUCCUGCAUCGUCACUUGAUAAUACGAUGAAGGUAGUUAGGCGCACAGCCGCAGAAUGCGAAUGAUUUUUCGCAACUUCGAGGAUACAGUUUCGUUCCCAUCGUUCGGGUUCCACGCAGCCAGGACUGGGAGAGCGUAUCGCGGGAAAAGAGAGAAAAGGGGGAAGAGCGAGACGUCGCGGGGAGUAGCAGCACCUCGUCGACCCGAGGAGAGGAAUACGCAUGCGCGUUUGCACGCUUGGGAGCGCAUUUAAGCGUCUCCCGGGGACCAUGCACCCGCCGCAUCGCCGGGGCACACGCACUUUUACAUCGUAUACGCGUGUAGGUGCAUUUACGAAGCUCGUAUGGUAUCCAGCCGUGUAGUCGCGUUAGGAGCCGGUGGCCGAAGCGGAGCAGCUCGAAGAGGGAGAAAAUAAUGCGUGUCUCGACCCAGCGAGCAAGAACGAAGGCAAGAGUGUUUUCUGUAGAAGGUCAACGGUAUCGGGCACGAAAGAGACGCGCAUGCCGAUGAAUAAUGGCGAGAGAAGGUCGGAGGCUAACGAUACUCGACGAUGGACGAACGAUCCUCGAAACGCUCGAAGAAACGAGCACGAAACACUGACCGUACUCGUGAUGAGAACGUACGAGCUGGCUCCGUAUCGAUAAGAUUUAAAUCGCCUCGAAUAUGACUCGUUCUCGUUUAACUGGAAACGCAACGGGAGACAAAGUCUGGCUAUCGUUUUCCACGAUUCGAACGGAACAGAUGGCACACGAUUUCUAUGAAAAGCUCGAUGGUCGAUGCAUCGAUCCGUGGUUAAAGCACCGGCUGGCGAGGGCACGUAGGUGAAUUUAAACAAGAUUGGUCGAACGGUAGCCGAACGACGCGGCAUUUCAACCGGUCGUAGCCCAUUUAAAUAUCUUCCUUUUCCACAUUUGCAAACAAACGCGGCCACGUCCGCGGUUUCCAGCCUCGAUAUAAAUUAUUCAACCGGCUAUAUCUGUCCUGCGGUCGUUAGAUAGGAAUCGUUCGAACGACGGCAGAAUCUCGUUUCUAGCUACGAAUAUCCUUUCCCUCGAUACGUACGUACACGCGUUCAUACACCUACAGUGUACCAACAAGCUAACUGCUUGGCUGGCUGGCUGGCAAACGCGCCUCCUUCUCUCCCGUUCAUUCUCUUUCUCUCUCGGUACACCUAUACCGUUAGGAUAACAGCCAACGACCCAGAUCCUCCCAGAGGACCGGCGCCUUCCACCGGGGGAUCUUUUUUAUCCGUACACCAACCGACCAGCACCGCAACCGAUCGCUUCGAGGAAGCGUAGCCACCUAGGUGAAAGCGUAAUAUUCGACCAAACCCGAAAGAUACAACAUUUAUCUACAAAGGAGUAGAAUUUUCAGGGCAUACGAAUUGUAGUCUCGUUAUUCGAUGUAAUAAAAAAAAAAUAAAAAUUUGUUCAAACAUAACCAGAGUAAA